rnacentral:ncRNA from 1 species
CUGGUUGAUCCUGCCAGUAACAUAUGCUUGUCUCAAAGAUUAAGCCAUGCAGGUCUAAGUGCACACGGAAGGUACAGUGAAACUGCGAAUGGCUCAUUAAAUCAGUUAUGGUUCCUUUGAUCGCUCCACACGUUACUCGGAUAACUGUGGUAAUUCCAGAGCUAAUACAUGCAAACGAGCGCUGACCGGUCCUCUCUCGGGGGGGCCGGGAUGCGUGCAUUUAUCAGACCCAAAACCCACCCGGGGGGACCCGCGAGGGUUUCCCCCGGCCCUUUGGUGAAUCUAGAUAACCUCGGGUCGAUCGCGCGCCCACCGCGGCGGCAACGUCUCAUUCUAAUGUCUGCCCUAUCAGCUGUCGAUGGUAGCAUAGGGGGCUACCAUGGUGACCACGGGUAACGGGGAAUCAGGGUUCGAUUCCGGAGAGGGAGCCUGAGAAAUGGCUACCACAUCCAAGGAAGGCAGCAGGCGCGCAAAUUACCCAUUACCGACACGGUGAGGUAGUGACGAAAAAUAACGAUGCAGGUCUCUUUCGAGGCCCUGUAAUCGGAAUGAACGUAUCCUAAACACAUGGGUGAGGACCCAUUGGAGGGCAAGUCUGGUGCCAGCAGCUAUGGUAAUUCCAGCUCCAAUAGCGUAUAUUAAAUUUGCUGCAGUUAAAAAGCUCGUUGUUGGACUUCGGGAGUGGGCUGGCGGUCUGCCGCGAGGCGAGCUACCGCCUGUCCCAGACCCUGCCUCCCGGCGCCCCCCGGAUGCCCUUGGUUGGGUGUCCGGUCCUCAGGGGUCCGGAGCGUUUACUUUGAAAAAAAUCAGAGUGAUCAAAGCGGGCACCAAACUUGCCUGAAUGCCUGAGCUAGGAAUAAUGGAAUAGGACUCCGGUUCUAUUUUGUGGGUUUCCUGAACCAGGGCCAUGAUUAAGAGGGACGGCCGGGGGCAUUCGUAUUGCGCCGCUAGAGGUGAAAUUCUUGGACCGGCGCAAGACGGACGAAAGCGAAAGCAUUUGCCAAGAAUGUUUUUCAUUAAUCAAGUACGAAAGUCGGAGGUUCGAAGACGAUCAGAUACCGUCGUAGUUCCGACCGUAAACUAUGCCGACCCGCGAUCCGGCGGCGUUUAUUCAUGACCCGCCGGCAGCGUGCGGGGAAACCAGAGUCUUUGGGUUCCG